UUGAGCUUGAUCCUGGCUCAGAUUGAACGCUGGCGGCAGGCCUAACACAUGCAAGUCGAGCGGAAACGAUGGAAGCUUGCUUCCAGGCGUCGAGCGGCGGACGGGUGAGUAAUGCAUGGGAAUCUGCCCGAUAGUGGGGGAUAACCUGGGGAAACCCAGGCUAAUACCGCAUACGUCCUACGGGAGAAAGCAGGGGAUCUUCGGACCUUGCGCUAUCGGAUGAGCCCAUGUCGGAUUAGCUUGUUGGUGAGGUAAUGGCUCACCAAGGCGACGAUCCGUAGCUGGUCUGAGAGGAUGAUCAGCCACAUCGGGACUGAGACACGGCCCGAACUCCUACGGGAGGCAGCAGUGGGGAAUAUUGGACAAUGGGCGAAAGCCUGAUCCAGCCAUGCCGCGUGUGUGAAGAAGGCCCUCGGGUUGUAAAGCACUUUCAGUGGGGAAGAAAGCCUUGGGAUUAAUACUCCCGAGGAAGGACUCACCCCCGAA
rnacentral:rRNA from 1 species